CCCAAGAGAUCGGGAUAACACCUGGAAACAGAUGCUAAUACCGGAUAACAACAGAUGAUGCCUAUCAACUGUUUAAAAGAUGGUUCUGCUAUCACUCUUGGAUGGACCUGCGGCGCAUUAGCUAGUUGGUAGGGUAACGGCCUGCCAAGGCGAUGAUGCAUAGCCGAGUUGAGAGACUGAUCGGCCACAUUGGGACUGAGACACGGCCCAAACUCCUACGGGAGGCAGCAGUA
rnacentral:rRNA from 1 species